rnacentral:rRNA from 1 species
UACGGAGGGUGCAAGCGUUGCUCGGAAUUAUUGGGCGUAAAGGGUAGGUAGGUGGUCUCAUUUGUCUGGGGUGAAAUCCUUGAGCUUAACUCAAGAAGUGCCUCAGAAACGGUGAGACUAGAGUUCUGGAGAGGGUCGUGGAAUUCCCGGUGUAGCGGUGAAAUGCGUAGAGAUCGGGAGGAAGGCCGGUGGCGAAGGCGGCGCUCUGGAACAUUUCUGACGCUGAGGCUCGAAAGCGUGGGGAGCAAACAGG